GGCCUANANAUGCAGUCGAGCGGUAGAGAGAAGCUUGCUUCUCUUGAGAGCGGCGGACGGGUGAGUAAUGCCUAGGAAUCUGCCUGGUAGUGGGGGAUAACGUCCGGAAACGGACGCUAAUACCGCAUACGUCCUACGGGAGAAAGCAGGGGACCUUCGGGCCUUGCGCUAUCAGAUGAGCCUAGGUCGGAUUAGCUAGUUGGUGAGGUAAUGGCUCACCAAGGCGACGAUCCGUAACUGGUCUGAGAGGAUGAUCAGUCACACUGGAACUGAGACACGGUCCAGACUCCUACGGGAGGCAGCAGUGGGGAAUAUUGGACAAUGGGCGAAAGCCUGAUCCAGCCAUGCCGCGUGUGUGAAGAAGGUCUUCGGAUUGUAAAGCACUUUAAGUUGGGAGGAAGGGUACUUACCUAAUACGUGAGUAUUUUGACGUUACCGACAGAAUAAGCACCGGCUAACUCUGUGCCAGCAGCCGCGGUAAUACAGAGGGUGCAAGCGUUAAUCGGAAUUACUGGGCGUAAAGCGCGCGUAGGUGGUUCGUUAAGUUGGAUGUGAAAUCCCCGGGCUCAACCUGGGAACUGCAUCCAAAACUGGCGAGCUAGAGUAUGGUAGAGGGUGGUGGAAUUUCCUGUGUAGCGGUGAAANNGC
rnacentral:rRNA from 1 species